UGGGGUCCAUAAGGGUUCUAUUGGGGUCUAUGGGUUCUAUCUGGGGUCCAUUGGGUUCCAUUGGGGUCCUACUGGGGUCCAUUGGGUUCCACUGGGGUCCAUUGGGAUCUGUUGGGGUCCAUUGGGGUCCAUUGGGGUCUGUUGGGGUCCAUUGGGGUCUACUGGGGUCCAUUGGGUUCCAUUGGGGUCCAUUGGGUUCCAUUGUGUUCAUUUGGGGUCUAUUGGGGUCCAUUGGGUUCAUGGGCGGUCUAUUGGGUCCAUAGGUUCUAUUUGGGCCUAUAGGGUUCUAUUGGGGUCCCAUAGGGUUCUACUUGGGGCCCAUAGGAUGCUAGUUGGGUUCAUUGGGUUCCAUUGGGGUCCAUUGGUUCCAAUUGGGUUCAUUUGGGUUUUUGGGUUCCUUGGGGUCUAUAUGGGGCUCAUGGGAUUCCAUUGGGGUCUAUUGGGCCAUUGGGGUCAUAGGGUUCUAUUGGGCCCAUAGGGUUUAUUGGGGUCCAUAGGUUCUAAUGGGGCCAAUAGGGUUCUAUUGGGUCCAUAAGGUUCUAAUGGGCCCAUAGGGUUUAUUAUUGGGGUCCAUAGGGUUCUAUUGGGGCCUAU
rnacentral:lncRNA from 1 species